AGCGGCUGUGGCAUUGAGCUCUCCAUGUGGGGUUCCGCUGGAGAGGGCCAAUGUCAACAGAUAGCAAAGGAAGAGAGCCUUCGUCGAAUUGAGUCGCAUGGCGACUUUGGCCAGAUGCUUUUCAGUGCUGACUAAGGAGUACGGAGGGAGGGACCAAAAGAGCUCUUAGAGAUGACAAGCCUCUGUUCGUGCAUGUAGGGGAUAUAA